AUGGAGAUCAAAUAACAGUCAUUAUGAAUAGCUUAAACAAUGUGUUAUUAUUCUGCUACAUUUGAUGUCGAAAUCAGCCUAACUAUCAAAGGCAUUUUAUCCUGAAGCAUUUCAAAGGUAUAAUAUAUUUAUAACUUAUUCCAUAGACCUGGAUACGCAGUGUUAAAGUUAAUAUCGAAACGACUUUAGAAAUGACCAAACUUAAAAGUUAGCAACAAAAAAAGUAUCCUAUAGAAGGCGAAUUUGUUAUCGUACACUUCAGUGAGCUGUAUGUGUUUCUCAUCAGACAUUGUAAAAUGUGUGCCUGUUCGUGUUCACUACAAUCCUUAUUUUAAGAUGUAAAUCAUGUGUCAGUGGAAAAAAUCUAGGUGUUCAUUGAAACUCGCAGAUAAUCAUUUUACAUUAAGAUUCAAGAUAAUUAUUCUUUGAAUUUUAACUUAAUACAUACAAGUGUUGGAUCAAAACUUAUUGGAUGCACAAAAAAUUCCUAGAAAAGUAUUUGGAUGGCGAUUGGAUAUUGUAUAUCGAGUUA